AAAUCACGAAGGUGGAAGAGGAAGAAGAAGAAAAAGGAAAUAGCAGUGCACGCUUACGUACGCCCAUUACGGAGGACAAACAAAACGGAGGUUUUAGCUCCAUUUCAAACAGUACGACGAUAAGUAAACAAGAAGGCAACAACAGGAUCGAGGAUACACUUGCUUUACUACAUCAUCCUCUUUGAUGCCAUUCUUUAGACUUUGAAUGUCGUAAGAAGAGCGAGCAAGAGUGAGAGAGAAACAGGGGAAACACUAAGAGAGCAACAUCGCGAAAAAAAAUCAUCGAUAAUAGGAACAAAAGUAAUCGGAAACGUCAACAACCAAGUGAGAGAAUAUACAGAAUUCAUAAAAAAAACGCUAUGAAAUUUACGAAGUCAACUAAUCAUCGAAAUUACAUAUUUCGAUCUAACGGUACAGCUCGGCAACUAAUUCGUCAACGUCAUUUUUCAACGUCAACGUCA